rnacentral:rRNA from 1 species
UGGGGAAUUUUGGACAAUGGGCGCAAGCCUGAUCCAGCCAUGCCGCGUGAGUGAAGAAGGCCUUCGGGUUGUAAAGCUCUUUCGGCCGGAACGAAAUCGUCCGGGCUAAUACCCCGGAUGGAUGACGGUACCGGAAGAAGAAGCACCGGCUAACUACGUGCCAGCAGCCGCGGUAAUACGUAGGGUGCAGGCGUUAAUCGGAAUUACUGGGCGUAAAGCGUGCGCAGGCGGCUACUCAAGUCAGAUGUGAAAUCCCCGGGCUUAACCUGGGAACUGCGUUUGAAACUGGGUGGCUGGAGUGCGGCAGAGGGGGGUGGAAUUCCACGUGUAGCAGUGAAAUGCGUAGAUAUGUGGAGGAACACCGAUGGCGAAGGCAGCCCCCUGGGCCUGCACUGACGCUCAUGCACGAAAGCGUGGGGAGCAAACAGG